rnacentral:rRNA from 1 species
UAGGGAAUCUUCCGCAAUGGGCGCAAGCCUGACGGAGCAACGCCGCGUGAGUGAUGAAGGUUUUCGGAUCGUAAAGCUCUGUUGCCAGGGAAGAACGUCCGGUAGAGUAACUGCCGGAGUGACGGUACCUGAGAAGAAAGCCCCGGCUAACUACGUG